rnacentral:lncRNA from 1 species
GCUUUACAUUUUUUUUAUCAAAAAAAUUUGGCUUUACAUUUUUGCAAAUUUCAGUGUGUGUGUGUUUUGCCAAUUUGCAACAUGUGUUCAUUAGCUAUCCAAAAUGUUUUCGUCAAUGUUAUAAACCUCAAUAUAUAUGUUAACUUAUACCACAUAUUCCCCAACUCUGUUUUGUGCACCAUUUGAAACGCCACAUCUUCAAAGAUUGUCAAUUCAUAUACUUCUAAUUCUUAAACUUUUUCAUAUGCAUAAAUUAACUUCAAUCCUCGGUUUUGAAUUUGCCCAAAUGGUAACAAUUUAUUGUCACUGUAAUCUCUCUGAAACUCAACAAAAAUAGAGCAAAAACCUUCAUUGAGGCAUUUUGCCCAAUUUGUUAAAUGGAACUCAAACUUAUAAAAAUUGCAACCAAAGGAAGGAUAAUCUGUGUAUUAAGACAUAUAUAAACAAUUCUAAGCCGAUUUUUAGAGUUCUCAAAUUAUUUUUCGUUUCUUACUAAACAACAGUAAGAAAGGAAAGAAGAAAGGGAGGAACACGAAGUACAUACCUCAUGAUUUGAACUCUAAUCCAUUCAAACACUCUUACAAUCUUUCUUCUUUCUUUGAUUUCCCCGUUAUGGUUUCAGUUCGAUGAAAUCAUCGAAUUUCAUCUUUGGCGGAUUUGAACCCUAACACUGCCUUCCCCAAUUUAAUCUGGUAGGAGAAUGGUUUG